rnacentral:rRNA from 1 species
CCCUACGGGGUGCAGCAGGCGCGAAAACUUUACAAUGCGGGAAACCGUGAUAAGGGAACCCCGAGUGCCUGUAUAUGCAGGCUGUCCAGGUGUCUAAAAAACACCUGAAGAAAGGGCCGGGCAAGACCGGUGCCAGCCGCCGCGGUAAUACCGGCGGCUCGAGUGGUGGCCACUUUUAUUGGGCUUAAAGCGUUCGUAGCUGGGUUGUUAAGUCUCUUGGGAAAUCUGACGGCUUAACCGUCAGGCGUCUAAGAGAUACUGGCAAUCUUGGAACCGGGAGAGGUGAGGGGUACUUCGGGGGUAGGAGUGAAAUCCUGUAAUCCUCGAGGGACCACCUGUGGCGAAGGCGCCUCACCAGAACGGCUUCGACAGUGAGGGACGAAAGCUGGGGGAGCAAACCGGAUUAGAUACCCGGGUAGUCCCAGCCGUAAACGAUGCGCGUUAGGUGUAUCGGUGACCACGAGUCACCGAGGUGCCGAAGGGAAACUGUGAAACGUGCCGCCUGGGAAGUACGGUCGCAAGGCUGAAACUUAAAGGAAUUGGCGGGGGAG